UACAAUGUUUCGACUCUUCGUCUUAUUUAAAUUUUUUUGCGAUUAAUAUUUUUAUUUUUACUAAAUGAUAAAACAUGAAUAAUAUUUUAUGCGUAACUAAUUUUUUUAAGUUUUUGAAUAAAUUUUUCAAAUAAAACGAAUGGUCAAACAUUGGACACGGAAAAAC
rnacentral:pre_miRNA from 1 species